rnacentral:rRNA from 1 species
UCCUACGGGGGGCAGCAGUGGGGAAUAUUGCACAAUGGGGGGAACCCUGAUGCAGCGACGCCGCGUGGGUGAAGGAGCACCUCGGUGCGUAAAGCCCUAUCGGCAGGGAAGAAACAGACGGUACCUGACUAAGAAGCCCCGGCUAACUACGUGCCAGCAGCCGCGGUAAUACGUAGGGGGCAAGCGUUAUCCGGAUUCACUGGGUGUAAAGGGAGCGUAGACGGCGACGCAAGUCUGGAGUGAAAGCCCGGGGCCCAACCCCGGGACUGCUCUGGAAACUGCGGCGCUGGAGUACGGGAGGGGCG